CGGACGGGUGAGUAACGCGUGAGAAAAGACUUCAGGACGGGGAUAACAGAGGGAAACCUCUGCAAAUACCCGAUGUGCCGAAAGGUGAAAGUAAUUCGCCUGAAGAUGAGCUCGCGUCCGAUUAGCUAGUUGGUGGGGUAAGAGCCUACCAAGGCGGCGAUCGGUAGCUGGUCUGAGAGGAUGAGCAGCCACACUGGGACUGAGACACGGCCCAGACUCCUACGGGAGGCAGCAGUGGGGAAUUUUCCGCAAUGGGCGAAAGCCUGACGGAGCAAGACCGCGUGGGGGAAGAAGGCUCUUGGGUUGUCAACCCCUUUUCUCAGGGAAGAAGUUCUGACGGUACCUGAGGAAUAAGCAUCGGCUAACUCCGUUUUUUUUUCCGCGGUAAGACGGAGGAUGCAAGCGUUAUCCGGAAUUAUUGGGCGUAAAGCGUCCGUAGGUGGCUUGUCAAGUCGGCGGUCACAGACCGGGGCUUAACUCCAGAAAGGCCGUGGAAACUGAAAGGCUAGAGAAAGGUAGGGGUAGGGGGAAUUCCCGGUGUAGCGGUGAAAUGCGUAGAGAUCGGGAAGAACACCGGUGGCGAAAGCGCCCUACUGGACCUUAUCUGACACUGAGGGACGAAAGCUAGGGGGAGCGAAAGGGGAUAAGAUACCCCUGUAGU
rnacentral:rRNA from 1 species